AGGGUUCGAUUCUGGCUCAGGAUGAACGCUAGCUACAGGCUUAACACAUGCAAGUCGAGGGGCAGCAUUGGAGUAGCAAUACUCAGAUGGCGACCGGCGCACGGGUGAGUAACACGUAUCCAACCUGCCGCUUACUCGGGGAUAGCCUUUCGAAAGAAAGAUUAAUACCCGAUGGUAUAAAGAGUUCGCAUGUUCUCUUUAUUAAAGAAUUUCGGUAAGCGAUGGGGAUGCGUUCCAUUAGAUAGUUGGCGGGGUAACGGCCCACCAAGUCUACGAUGGAUAGGGGUUCUGAGAGGAAGGUCCCCCACAUUGGAACUGAGACACGGUCCAAACUCCUACGGGAGGCAGCAGUGAGGAAUAUUGGUCAGUGGACGAGAGUCUGAACCAGCCAAAGUAGCGUGAAGGAUGACUGCCCUAUGGGUUGUAAACUUCUUUUAUAAGGGAAUAAAGUGAGGGACGUGUCCCUUUUUGUAUGUACCUUAUGAAUAAGGAUCGGCUAACUCCGUGCCAGCCGCGGC
rnacentral:rRNA from 1 species